UACGUAGGCAGCGAGCGUUGUUCGGAGUUACUGGGCGUAAAGGGUGUGUAGGCGGUUCUUUAAGUUUGGUGUGAAAUCUCCCGGCUCAACCGGGAGGGUGCGCCGAAUACUGAGGGACUAGAGUAUGGGAUGGGAAAGUGGAAUUCCUGGUGUGAGCGGUGAAAUGCGUAGAUAUCAGGAGGAACACCUGUGGUGUGAGACGGCUUUCUGGACCAUAACUGACGCUGAGACACGAAAGCGUGGGUAGCAAACAGG
rnacentral:rRNA from 1 species